ACAGAGGUAUUCUUUACAUCAGGUUUUAUCUGUCAGUAUUUGACAAGAAGAAAACUUCAGUCAGCUAAAGCACAGUAUUUUUCAUACAUGAAAACAAUUAUGCAAAAUCAUGCUAGUUGUUUUACUUCUGUAAAUACUAAUUUACUGAUGAGGUUAUAAGCUAGGUCAAAACCAACGUGAAGAGGCAGCUUUUAAAAUACAAGCUAGUACACAGAGAAAAUUAUUUUCAUGUGUACAUACACUUAAGUCAUUUGAAAGACAAAGUUCACACAUAAAAUUCUAAUGUAUAUAGCAAAAAUUCUUUGCUAUACAAAUUAGCCUUAGCUUGUAAUCACUUCCAAAUUUUGGACAACAUAGUAAAAUGUUGACAAUUAACAAUAUCCCAGACGAGCUGAGAUCAAGGUUUUGGAUGCAGAAAUAUCAGACUGUUGUAAUUGCAACUCUGAAUUUCUUUUAUAAAUUGUCAGUGUGGAAUAAAAAUACAUGCAUUCAUCACCAAGAGACUACAGUCACAUUCUGGAGUUGCAAAUAAAAUAAUUUUAAUCCAACCAUUCAAAAUAAUAGACCACUACUGCUACACUGCUUCAUAGUUUGUGGAAAUGUUCCACAAUUAAUAAAUGUCUGAGCUCACAUUAUUUAACAAAAGUGAUAAGUACUUCAAUUUCCAGUGCCUUUUCAGUACUUGCUGAAUAUCAGCAGUGACUAUGAAUCUGAUGUUAUCAGCAGGUUUAGAUUGUGUCUCCAGGUUGUAUUAAUCCCACCAUGCUUUCCCAAUGGUCCUCUGUGACCCUGAGGAGAUUAGAAUGACAACACCUUCCGGACUCAGAAUGACAACACCAGAAGUGGACUCAGAUUCAUGGAGUAAGCACAGCGAGUGCACGGGCAGUACAAGGAGCAACUUGGGUGUGCCAUGCCCAGGUUCAUUCUGUACCUUUGUGGCAGCUCCAGCUACACCAAACCCAGCACAGAAGCGCUGCCAAGUCACGUUCAACACCACAGCAGCUCAGGAACUACAUGGCCAUGAAGUGUGCAAAGCUUCAUACACUCAACUAUGAAAUUGUAUCAGAAGGAAAAAGAGGCAGCAGCUGACUAAUGCAAACUCUGCUUUUGCUAUCCCAUCAUGGAACUUUGAGCACCUGUGACCCCUGCCAGCUCUAACAAGGAGAAGAGCAGUCUGACUCUUUCCACCAGCUUCUUUAUCAAAUUUUUGCCAACUGCAGCAUUCAAGGAGCCAGCUGGCACCAAUCGAGCUGCAAGACUGGGUAGAAAGUACAGCUUUCUCUAGAAGUUCUGUGUUAUUUAACUGUACCAAAUGUUUACAGAGCAGAACUAUUUUUUUCCUGUCAUUUUUGUGCAUAUGUGAAAUAUUUGACAUUUGCCUUGUAAAACAUAUAUUAGGAUUUACUGGAAUUUCUGUCUUGACCACUUAAGUGACGUUGGCAGGACUUGUCACAUUUUUUUAAAGAAGUAAACUAGUGCGGUUGUUCUUUAACUUGUGAGUGACUGAAAAUAG